UGCUCUUCUGAUCUAGAGGACGACCUUCCCCGAUAGAGGAGGACCGUUCUUCGGUCAAGGGUAUACGAGUAGCUGCGCUCCCCUGCGAGAACCUCCAAACAAGCUCUCAAGGCCCAUUUGUAGGAGAACGUAGGGUAGUCAGGCUUCCAAGGCUCCAGACACAUCCAA